AUUGAACGCUGGCGGCAUGCUUUACACAUGCAAGUCGAACGGUAACAGGCCUUCGGGCGCUGACGAGUGGCGAACGGGUGAGUAAUGCAUCGGAACGUGCCCAGUCGUGGGGGAUAACGCAGCGAAAGCUGUGCUAAUACCGCAUACGAUCUGUGGAUGAAAGCGGGGGACCUUCGGGCCUCGCGCGAUUGGAGCGGCCGAUGUCAGAUUAGGUAGUUGGUGGGGUAAAGGCUCACCAAGCCAACGAUCUGUAGCUGGUCUGAGAGGACGACCAGCCACACUGGGACUGAGACACGGCCCAGACUCCUACGGGAGGCAGCAGUGGGGAAUUUUGGACAAUGGGCGCAAGCCUGAUUCAGCAAUGCCGCGUGCAGGAAGAAGGCCUUCGGGUUGUAAACUGCUUUUGUACGGAACGAAACGGUCCUGGUUAAUACCUGGGGUUAAUGACGGUACCGUAAGAAUAAGCACCGGCUAACUACGUGCCAGCAGCCGCCGUAACAC
rnacentral:rRNA from 1 species